UUCAGAAACAAGGGAAAGAAGAUGUUGUGCAAUGACUUAUGAAGAGAGUCAGACUGAAAAAACGAAGUGGUGUUGUCCAAAUGAUAGAAAAAGAAGAUGCUGCAAGGAAAUGGAGAAGAGGGAGUGACAGGAAAAGCCAUUGUGACAGAUUUCCAACUGAUUGCAGAUCUAUGUACCCAGGACUCAACACAAUAAUAUAGACCGACCCUAAAAAGGAGAAGGCUGAAAACAUCUCCACAGGGGGCAGCACGUACUAGAGGGCAGGACAUGGAACCUGAUCAAUUUCUCCCAGCGAUUCUCUAGUCCAGUGCCUCUUAGCUCUUCAGGUGCCCAGAAAUCACCUGGCCUCUUACUAAAAUGCAGGUUGUGAUUCAGCAGGGCAGGGGCAGGGGCAGGGCCUGAGAUUCUGCAUUUCUUACAAGACCAGGAGAUGCUGAUGCUGGGAUUGCACUUGGGGAGUGAGGAUUUAAAGACGGACUUAAAGGAUCUUUAAAGUAAGAGAAUCUGCUGGCAGGAAUGCAAAAUGGUGCAGGCAUUUUGGAAAACUGUCACUGUUAACAAGUUGAAUGGUAUCCUCCCAAAUGAUACAUCCACCCGGGACCUGUGCGUGUGACCUUAUUUGGAAAAAAGGCCUAUGCAGAUGUAAUUAAGUUGAGGAUCUCAAGAUGAGAUCAUCCUGAAUUAUCCAGGUGGGCCCUAAACCCAAUGACAAUUGUCCUUAUAAGAGAUAGAAGAGAAGGCACAGAACACGGAGGAGGCCACGUGAAGACGGAGGCAGAGAUUGGAGGGAUGCAGCCACAAAUGCUCGAAGCCACCAGAAGCUGGAAGAGGCAAGAAUGUAUCUUCUCCAAGAGCCUUUGGAAGGACUAUGGCCCUGCAGACACCUUGAUUUCAGACUUCUGGACUCCAGACCUGUGAGAGAAUACAUUCCUGUUGUUUGAAGCCACCUAGUUUAUGGUCGCUUGUUACAGCAGCUACAGGUAACUCAUACAGUCAAUUUCUUUUUUUUUUUUA